rnacentral:tRNA from 1 species
ACUGAGAUAGUUUAAUGUUAGAACACCGUCAUUAUACAAGACGGAAAUAGAGGUUCAAGUCCUUUUCUCGGUACCA